GAACGCUGGCGGCAUGCCUAACACAUGCAAGUCGAACGAGACCUUCGGGUCUAGUGGCGCACGGGUGCGUAACGCGUGGGAAUCUACCCUCAGGUUCGGAAUAACUCAGAGAAAUUUGAGCUAAUACCGGAUGAUGACGUAAGUCCAAAGAUUUAUCGCCUGAGGAUGAGCCCGCGUAGGAUUAGGUAGUUGGUGAGGUAAAGGCUCACCAAGCCGACGAUCCUUAGCUGGUCUGAGAGGAUGAUCAGCCACACUGGGACUGAGACACGGCCCAGACUCCUACGGGAGGCAGCAGUGGGGAAUAUUGGACAAUGGGCGAAAGCCUGAUCCAGCAAUGCCGCGUGAGUGAUGAAGGCCUUAGGGUUGUAAAGCUCUUUUACCCGGGAUGAUAAUGACAGUACCGGGAGAAUAAGCUCCGGCUAACUCCGUG
rnacentral:rRNA from 1 species